UGGGGAAUUUUGGACAAUGGGGGCAACCCUGAUCCAGCAAUGCCGCGUGCAGGAAGAAGGCCUUCGGGUUGUAAACUGCUUUUGUCAGGGAAGAAAUCCUCUGGGUUAAUAACUCGGGGGGAUGACGGUACCUGAAGAAUAAGCACCGGCUAACUACGUGCCAGCAGCCGCGGUAAUACGUAGGGUGCGAGCGUUAAUCGGAAUUACUGGGCGUAAAGCGUGCGCAGGCGGUUGUGCAAGACAGGUGUGAAAUCCCCCGGGCUUAACCUGGGAACUGCACUUGUGACUGCACGGCUAGAGUACGGUAGAGGGGGGAUGGAAUUCCGCGUGUAGCAGUGAAAUGCGUAGAUAUGCGGAGGAACACCGAUGGCGAAGGCAAUCCCCUGGGCCUGUACUGACGCUCAUGCACGAAAGCGUGGGGAGCAAACAGGAUUAGAUACCCUGGUAGUCCACGCCCUAAACGAUGUCAACUGGUUGUUGGACGGCUUGCUGUUCAGUAACGAAGCUAACGCGUGAAGUUGACCGCCUGGGGAGUACGGCCGCAAGUUGAAACUCAAAGGAAUUGACGGGGUCAUAGCUGUUUCCUG
rnacentral:rRNA from 1 species